rnacentral:rRNA from 1 species
AAUAGAUACCCUGGUAGUCCACGCCGUAAACGAUGAGUGCUAAGUGUUGGGGGGGUUUCCGCCCCUCAGUGCUGCAGCUAACGCAUUAAGCACUCCGCCUGGGGAGUACGGUCGCAAGACUGAAACUCAAAGGAAUUGACGGGGGCCCGCACAAGCGGUGGAGCAUGUGGUUUAAUUCGAAGCAACGCGAAGAACCUUACCAGGUCUUGACAUCCCGGUGACCACUAUAGAGACAUAGUUUCCCCUUCGGGGGCAACGGUGACAGGUGGUGCAUGGUUGUCGUCAGCUCGUGUCGUGAGAUGUUGGGUUAAGUCCCGCAACGAGCGCAACCCUUAUUCUUAGUUGCCAUCAUUCAGUUGGGCACUCUAAGGAGACUGCCGGUGAUAAACCGGAGGAAGGUGGGGAUGACGUCAAAUCAUCAUGCCCCUUAUGACCUGGGCUACACACGUGCUACAAUGGACGGUACAAACGGUUGCCAACCCGCGAGGGGGAGCUAAUCCGAUAAAACCGUUCUCAGUUCGGAUUGUAGGCUGCAACUCGCCUAC